UACGUAGGGAGCAAGCGUUGUCCGGAAUCAUUGGGCGUAAAGCGCGCGUAGGUGGCUCCAUAAGUCCGCUGUGAAAGUCAAAGGCUCAACCUUUGAAUGCCGAUGGAUACUGUCGAGCUAGAGUCCGGAAGAGGCGAGUGGAAUUCCUGGUGUAGCGGUGGAAUGCGCAGAUAUCAGGAGGAACACCAAUAGCGAAGGCAGCUCGCUGGGACGGUACUGACGCUAAGGCGCGAAAGCGUGGGGAGCGAACAGG
rnacentral:rRNA from 1 species